UGUUAUGUAUGCAAAUAUAUAAUAAAUAUACAAUAUGUAAUAAUACACACGCAUGUAAGUUCGCAUAAAUAAAUAUUACGUAUGUCACAAUACAUAAUAAUACAUAAACUCGUCUAUAUAAGUCGAGAUAAGUUUUUUGGGCAGAAAAAAAAAUAUAUAUAUAUUAUUAUGUAUUAUAUACCGCCUAUCCACAUAUGUCAGUUUGAAGGGGUAAAACGAAAAACGUAGUGAAUGACAAAUUUUUACAUUAUUAUAGCCGAGUAUAGAUUUUGGAAAUAACAUGGCGAACAUAUAAAUAAUAUUAAUAAUAUAAUAUAAUAUAAUAUUGUGUACAGACGUCAUUUUAUAUUAUUAUUAUUAUUAUUUUUAUUUUUUUUAAUAUUUUUUUUUAAAUUUUUUUUGUUGAAAAACGGCAUACGAAAGAGAAAAAAACAAUUUUUUUUUUGUUGUAAGUAUAUAUUCUUAAAUUUUUUUUUUAGUUUUUUAUUUUUUAGUAAACUUUUUAAAAAAAUUUUUACAAGAUUAAAAUCUACUUGCGAUUUGUUUUACAGCGUAAAAAUAAAAACGGAUUGUCGAAAAAGUAACAACAACGAAUAUAAUAUAAUAUUAUAAUGUAUAUAUAUAUAUAUAUAUAUAUAUAUAAACAUAAAUAUACAUAUAUAUAUAUAUAUAUAAUAAUAAUAUAUAAUAUUAUAGUAAUAAUAUAAUGUAAUAAUAUCGCGACGGACAAAAAAAUUCGAUGGCCGAAUAUAUUAUUAAUAUUAAAAUAUUAUCUAGAAAAAAUGAAAAAAAAAAACAUUAAAAAAAAACGAAUUUCUUUCUAAAAGGACGUCCUAAAAUAUAAUAUUAAUAAUAACAUUAUAUUUUUAAGUAAUAAUAAUAAUAAUAUAAUAAUAUUGUAUAAUGAAUCACAUUGGAAAAAAAAAAAAAAAGAAAUUAUAAUAAUAAUUUUAUUAUUAUAUUAUAGUAAUAAUUAUAUACCCGUUCCACCUCCGUUUUUUAUACAUAUUUUUUUUUUUUUUUUUUUUUUUUUUUUUGUAAUUAUUAUUUCAUAAUAUAUAAUUUUAACGAUGACAACGCUAAACAAUAAUAUUAUUUAAUUUUUAUAAUAUACUUAAGGUUAAAAAUCGUACAGGUGUUUUAUUAUAAUAAUAUCGUCGGUAAUAAUUUUUAGUAUUCUUUUCUUUUUUUUUCAUUUAAAUUUUUUUAACAAAAAAAAAAUUUAUUAAAUAAAUAAAAAAAAUAAAAGAAAUUACAACCGGGAAAAUCUUCGGUCUUAUUAAUAUUAUAAUAUAUAGCUUUAUAAUAUAUAAUAAUAUUAUAUUAUAGUAUUAAAUAUAAGGCAACUUUGAUUACAAAUAUUUUUUUUCUUUUUUAAAUUUACAUACAAAUAUCGUUAAAAUACUAUUUAAUAUUACAUUACAUUAAUACAGUAUAAGUAAUGUCGAACCGUACAAUAAUAAUAACAGUAUUACAUCGGAUGUUUUAUGCCUAAUUUAUUUUUACUUUUUAAGUAUUGUACCUAUUUUUAAUAACACAUACAAUAUUAUAAUUUUCCAAAAACGGUGGUGUUUUUUUUUUUCAUUAGAAGCUCUGAAAUUUUAUUAAUCGAAUUAUUAUUAUUAUUAAUUAUUUUUUUUUUUUUUUUAUUGCAUUGUUUUACGCACAGCGUGUCAGCAAACGUUGAUUCAUAACGUUAUCCGCAUGACUGAUAAAUAACAGAUGGAUAAUAUACAGAGAAAGACCACGGGGAGCCAGGUAGAUAAAUAUAGGCAGAGAGAGCGAGAGAGAUGAGAGAGUGAUAAAGAUGCGUUAGAAAUAGAGAGUGAGAGAGAGAAAGGGGUAGAGUAUGAGAGUGAGUGAGAGAGUGAGUGAGAGAUAAAGAUAGGGACGGAAAGAAACGGAGAAAGAAAGAGAGAGAAAGAGUGAGAGGGAGUGAUAGAAGAUCGUAUCUUGUGGCCCCCGCGGGGAAAACGGAAUCUGGUUGAUUUCGAUUUUCCGGAAAAUACGCGUAGACUUGCGAGAGUCAGACCGGAAAAUAAAAGUCUACGAACAAUAAUACAUCGGACGAAAUUAUUAAUAUAAAAACCAAACAAAAUAAAAAAUGCUGCACAUCGGUACCGGCCCUUUUUUUCCCAAAGAGACCGGGGUGUUUUUUUUUUUAAUACCGACGGUGUGAAUCUAUAAGACGAAUAUAAUGUUUUAAGACCGUGACUACUGUAGUAUCGCGCCCGGGAAAUAAUAACAAAAAAAAAAAAUGCAAUUAUACCUGACGAAAACUCGUAUUUUCGCAUAACGUGCGAUGCGCGUGCGACGGGAACCGACGUCAAGUCGAUUGGAAUCGGCGAUUUUCUUUCAUCUUGGUCUUACGCGCGUGGAACAUUUAGACAUUUAGACGUGUUCCGUCUCCAAAGUGCCCAUCGGUCUAAUAAAGCGACAAGAAUACUGAAAACAGAUUUGGGAUUUAUCAUCGAGUAUACUUGAAAUCGAAUUUUCAAUUUUUUUUUAUAUAUUUCUCCAAAAAAAUAAAAUGCUCUAUUUUUUUUUAAUAACUAUUUUUUUUUUUUUUAAUACUGUUUCUUUUUAGGAUCUAUAGGGAUAAAAUCAAAAGAGCGGGAGUGUCGUUAACAAAUAGACGAAUUCAAAUCCGUUUUCAGAAUUUGUUCUACUGGCUUUACUAGUCCAAUCGGUACGGUGGACACAGAACACGUCUAAAUUCCUAUACGUUGCUCGCGAGUAAGACAGAGACAGAAAAUCGCCUCUUCCAAUAUCCUUAAUGUCUUCGGGCGUUGCGUUGUUCGGAGAAGAAAAUCCGCAACUAAACGAUCCAGGGAAAUCGGACGUCAUCGGAUGGAGGGGGACAUUUUUUUUUUUUUUCAUUAUUUAUUCUUAUACAUUACGCAGUGAAGAUAUACCGUUAUAAAAUUAAAUUAUUGUUUUAUAAACUAUGUAGGUUUUGGUUUCUUUUUAUCACAGAUUUUUUUUUUUUUUUGUUUGUUUCCCCGCCCACCCCUGUACACCAGUGCGAUACACACUAUUAGCUCGACUUGUAUUUAUAUAACUAUUGGAUUCUUUUUGUGUUUCCUUAAGCGUUAAAAGACAGUAAUAACGUACAAUAAUGUAAUAUCAUAACGCGGGAGGUAAGAACUUAUACUUAUACGCGGUAAGAACGGAGAUAGAGUGAUAGUGAGAAAAAAUCGCCGGUAUACGAUAAAAAAAAAAGAAAAAAAAACCCGAAAAAAACGACACGUAGAUAAUGGUACGUUACGAAAUUAGCCGACAGUAACCACGCGAGAUAUCCUAAAACGAUUUCCGUAACCUAACGUCAAUAUCAAUAAUAUCAAUAAUAUCAAUAAUAAUAAUAAUAAUAAUAAUAAUAAUAAUAAUAAUAAUAAUAAUAAUAAUAAUAAUAAUAAGAUACCGCGGUACUUGGCGAGAUAAUAAUAAAUGUAUAUAGUAAUAAUAAUAAUAUUAUAUAGGUAAGUAACAAUCGAAAUAAUGACGUACGUGUAUUGGCAGUUUGAAAACAAUAUAAUAAUAAUAAUAAUAAUAAUAAUAAUAAUAAUAAUAAUAUAAUAUAGUCGCGAUAAUAAUUUAUUAUCGUAAUAAUAAUAAUAAACCAUACAAUAAUAUUACGGUCGGCGGUAAGACGACGAAAAACACACCGAAAAAAAAACAGAAAUGGAUAUUAUUUUUAAUUUUAUUUUUAAUUAUUUUUUUCUUUUUUUUUUUUAUCGAUAAUAAUCAGUAUAAUAUAACCGCGGCGGCGAUACUAUACCUAAUUAUAUUUCGUGGUCCCGUGUAAAACAAAAUUGUAUUUUUCAUUACUUAUACUAGCGAAAAUCAAUAAUUAAUAAUAUAAUAUAUUAUCCUAAUACACUUUACAAUUUAUACUUAUACAAUAUACGAGUUUGUAUGCUCAAUUUAUUAUCAUUAUUAUUAUUAUAAUAUAAUAUAUAAUAUGUAUAAGAUGUAGUAUAUUAUUAUUAUUAUUAUACGUAGAUAUUUGUAUACUAAAACGUGAGAAGACGACAUUUGUUUCUAUUCUUUUUUUUUCUUUUUGUUUUCGGUGUUGGAAUUUUUUUUUAUUUAUACGCUUUUCUUUUUUUUUCUCAACAACAAUAAUAUAUGUGUACAAACGUCCGAUGACAGCGAGUCGCGGGCAACGUAUUUGUUAUUUUCGCGAAUACCGAGAGAGCGAUAGAUAUAGUUAUACAUAGAUAGCGAGACACAAAGAGAGAUAGAGACACGUGUAAAAAUAAAUACAAACAAGAGAUACGAGAGAUAUGAGAGAAAGAGAGAGAAGGAGAGUGAGAGAGUGAGUAAGAGAGACAGAAAGAGCGAAAAAAAGGUACCGGAACACGAAAUAAUGUGUUUGAACAACGGACACUUUUUUCAGUGUUUAAAAACUAACAAAAACCCGUUGUUGUAAUUCGCCUUAAAAAAAAAACAAAAUUCUAUAUUACAGAUUAACGGACGCGCGUGACGACGGAGUAGUAAGAGCGAUACGGGGGAGGGGAAAACCUAAUCAUAACCGUUAAAAAAAAAAAAAAGAGAGAAAAAACUUGUGAAUAAAUCGAGAAUCAAUAUGAUUUAUAUUAAUAUUACUAACAACGAUGAUUUGCGUGGUUUAUAAAACCAACAUUUCCGAAACCGUUUUCGACAUCGUGUGAUUACUGAUCGUUGUCAGUAUUAUUGUUUGUUAGCGAUCGGCGAGUUUUGGCGUUAACGGUUGACGAGACGACGGCGAUACGACAAUUUAUUAUCGUAACGGAAUAACGGCGACGGCGGCGACGGGCGAACGGGAGAGAAACACUAAGGGGCAGGGGUGGGUGGGGGUUUGGNGGGUUUGGGGGGGGGGGG